GACGAACGCUGGCGGCGUGCUUAACACAUGCAAGUCGAACGCUGAAGCUCAGCUUUUGUUGGGUGGAUGAGUGGCGAACGGGUGUGUAACACGUGAGUAACCUGCCUCCUUCUUUGGGAUAACGCCCGGAAACGGGUGCUAAUACUGGAUAUUCACUGGUCUUCGCAUGGGGGUUGGUGGAAAGGGUUUUUCUGGUGGGGGAUGGGCUCGCGGCCUAUCAGCUUGUUGGUGGGGUGAUGGCCUACCAAGGCUUUGACGGGUAGCCGGCCUGAGAGGGUGACCGGUCACAUUGGGACUGAGAUACGGCCCAGACUCCUACGGGAGGCAGCAGUGGGGAAUAUUGCACAAUGGGCGCAAGCCUGAUGCAGCGACGCCGCGUGAGGGAUGGAGGCCUUCGGGUUGUGAACCUCUUUCGCUCAUGGUCAAGCCGCAACAAUGGUUGUGGUGAGGGUAGUGGGUAAAGAAGCGCCGGCUAACUACGUG
rnacentral:rRNA from 1 species